CUUGCACCUUUCAAGCGAGUGGCGAACGGGUGAGUAACACGUGGAUAACCUGCCUCAAGGCUGGGGAUAACAUUUGGAAACAGAUGCUAAUACCGAAUAAAACUUAGUAUCGCAUGAUACAAAGUUGAAAGGCGCUACGGCGUCACCUAGAGAUGGGUCCGCGGUGCAUUAGUUAGUUGGUGGGGUAAAGGCCUACCAAGACAAUGAUGCAUAGCCGAGUUGAGAGACUGAUCGGCCACAUUGGGACUGAGACACGGCCCAAACUCCUACGGGAGGCUGCAGUAGGGAAUCUUCCACAAUGGGCGAAAGCCUGAUGGAGCAACGCCGCGUGUGUGAUGAAGGCUUUAGGGUCGUAAAGCACUGUUGUAUGGGAAGAAAUGCUAGAAUAGGGAAUGAUUCUAGUUCGACGGUACCAUACCAGAAAGGGACGGCUAAAUACGUGCCAGCAGCCGCGGUAAUACGUAUGUCCCGAGCGUUAUCCGGAUUUAUUGGGCGUAAAGCGAGCGCAGACGGUUGAUUAAGUCUGAUGUGAAAGCCCGGAGCUCAACUCCGGAAUGGCAUUGGAAACUGGUUAACUUGAGUGUUGUAGAGGUAAGUGGAACUCCAUGUGUUAAGC
rnacentral:rRNA from 1 species